rnacentral:sRNA from 3 species
UCGAGCGCAGCGAGAAAGCGUUGCCGCAGGCAACGACCCGAAGGGUGAGGAGCGGAGCGACGAAUAAUCCUUCCCCCACCACCA